GAUGAAGAACGUAGCGAAAUGCGAUACGUAAUGUGAAUUGCAGAAUUCAGUGAAUCAUCGAGUCUUUGAACGCACAUUGCGCCCCCUGGUAUUCCGGGGGGCAUGCCUGUCCGAGCGUCAUUGCUGCCCUCAAGCCCGGCUUGUGUGUUGGGCCCCGUCCCCCGAUCUCCGGGGGACGGGCCCGAAAGGCAGCGGCGGCACCGCGUCCGGUCCUCGAGCGUAUGGGGCUUUGUCACCCGCUCUGUAGGCCCGGCCGGCGCUUGCCGAUCAACCCAAAUUUUUAUCCAGGUUGACCUCGGAUCAGGUAGGGAUACCCGCUGAACUUAAGCAUAUCAAUAAGCGGAGG
rnacentral:misc_RNA from 1 species